GACGAACGCUGGCGGCGUGCUUAACACAUGCAAGUCGAACGGAAAGGCCCUGCUUUUGUGGGGUGCUCGAGUGGCGAACGGGUGAGUAACACGUGAGUAACCUGCCCUUGACUUUGGGAUAACUUCAGGAAACUGGGGCUAAUACCGGAUAGGAGCUCCUGCUGCAUGGUGGGGGUUGGAAAGUUUCGGCGGUUGGGGAUGGACUCGCGGCUUAUCAGCUUGUUGGUGGGGUAGUGGCUUACCAAGGCUUUGACGGGUAGCCGGCCUGAGAGGGUGACCGGCCACAUUGGGGGUGUGAGACGGCCCCCACCCCUCCGGGGGAGCACGCUGGGGGAUAUUGCAACCAGGGCGCAAGCGUCAUGCGGCAACCCCCCGUGCGGAGUUACGACCCUCGGGGUUUGAACCCCUUUCUCCUUGGACAAGACGCGAGGAACGGUUAUGGGUAAAAAGCACCCGGCAACCCUCUU
rnacentral:rRNA from 1 species